ensembl:snRNA U2 U2 spliceosomal RNA
AUCGCUUCUCAGCCUUUUGGCUAAGAUCAAGUGUACAUCUGUUCUUAUCAGUUUAAUAUCUGAUAUGUCCUCUAUCUGAGGAUAAUAUAUUAAGUGGAUUUUUGGAGCUAGAAGUUGGAAUGGGAGCUUGCUCUGUCCAUUCCAUGCAGUAUUGCAGUACCUCCAGGCAUGAUGCACCCCAC